rnacentral:rRNA from 1 species
CCUACGGGGAGCAGCAGUCGAGAAUCAUUCACAAUGGGGGAAACCCUGAUGGUGCGACGCCGCGUGGGGGAAUGAAGGUCUUCGGAUUGUAAACCCCUGUCAUGUGGGAGCAAAUUAAAAAGAUAGUACCACAAGAGGAAGAGACGGCUAACUCUGUACCAGCAGCCGCGGAAAUACAGAGGUCGCAAGCGUUGUUCGGAAGCACUGGGCGUAAAGCGUGCGUAGGCUGGUUCUUAAGUCGUGAGUGAAAGGCUCGGGCUGAACCCGCGGACGGCACAUGAUAAUGCGAGACUAGAGUAAUGGACGGGGAACCGGAAUUCUCGGGGUAGCAGUGAAAUGCGUAGAUAGCGAGAGGAACACUCGUGGCGAAGGCGGGUUCCUGGACAUUAACUGACGCUGAGGCACGAAGGCCAGGGGAGCGAAAGGGAUUAGAUACCCUAGUAGUC